GGUGGGUGAUGCCGGGGUGAAG
rnacentral:miRNA from 1 species